rnacentral:rRNA from 1 species
GGAUUAGAUACCCUGGUAGUCCACGCUGUAAACGAUGUCUACUAGCCGUCGGGGUCCUUAGUGACUUUGGUGGCGCAGCUAACGCGAUAAGUAGACCGCCUGGGGAGUACGGCCGCAAGGUUAAAACUCAAAUGAAUUGACGGGGGCCCGCACAAGCGGUGGAGCAUGUGGUUUAAUUCGAUGCAACGCGAAGAACCUUACCAGGUCUUGACAUCCUCGGAACUUGGCAGAGAUGCCUUGGUGCCUUCGGGAGCCGAGUGACAGGUGCUGCAUGGCCGUCGUCAGCUCGUGCCG